AUACGGAGGAUGCGAGCGUUAUCCGGAUUUAUCGGGUUUAAAGGGUGCGUAGGCUGUGCGUUAAGUCAGGGGUGAAAUGCCGUCGCUCAACGACGGAGCUGCCCUUGAUACUGGCGUGCUGGAGUACGGAUGCCGUUGGAGGAAUGAGUGGUGUAGCGGUGAAAUGCUUAGAUAUCACUCAGAACACCGAUUGCGAAGGCAUCUGACGAAUCCGUCACUGACGCUGAGGCACGAAAGCGUGGGGAUAGAACAGGAUUAGAUACCCUGGUAUUCCACGCCGUAAACGAUGAUGACUAACCGUCGGCGAUAGACAGCCGGUGGCCAAGCGAAAGCGAUAAGUCAUCCACCUGGGGAGUACGUCGGCAACGAUGAAACUCAAAGGAAUUGACGGGG
rnacentral:rRNA from 1 species